rnacentral:lncRNA from 1 species
UUUUACAAUAUCUGUCACACUACAGUAGCAGUACGGACAAUUAUCCUGUUGGCUGGACCACUGAUUUUCCUUCCUGAUAACUACACUUUUGUCCCAUUUUUUGCUGUUCAUGUAAUAAAUUCCUACUACUAUGAAAAAUAAAAUCAGAAGUGCAACUGACAGUUACCCUUUUUGUUAAAGUGAAUAUUAUGUUUGUUACUGUGUUUGUUGUGAUUAUUCAAGCUUUCAAGCCUUGUAAUUCACUAUUAUCUCUCUCAAAAAGAAAAAAAAUGGAAAUGAAUCAGAGAAUUGUGCAUAACAACAAAUAUAUUGAUUAUUAUUGAGUUAAGAAGAUGAGUCUUCU